rnacentral:rRNA from 1 species
AUUGAACGCUGGCGGCAUGCCUUACACAUGCAAGUCGAACGGCAGCACGGGUGCUUGCACCUGGUGGCGAGUGGCGAACGGGUGAGUAAUACAUCGGAACGUACCUUAUCGUGGGGGAUAACGCAGCGAGAGCUGUGCUAAUACCGCAUACGCCCUGAGGGGGAAAGCGGGGGAUCGAAAGACCUCGCGCGAUUAGAGCGGCCGAUGCCUGAUUAGCUUGUUGGUGGGGUAAAAGCCCACCAAGGCGACGAUCAGUAGCUGGUCUGAGAGGACGAUCAGCCACACUGGGACUGAGACACGGCCCAGACUCCUACGGGAGGCAGCAGUGGGGAAUUUUGGAUAAUGGGGGCAACCCUGAUCCAGCAAUGCCGCGUGAGUGAAGAAGGCCUUCGGGUUGUAAAGCUCUUUUGUCAGGGAAGAAACACCGGCUCUAACACAGUCCGGGAAUGACGGUACCUGAAGAAUAAGCACCGGCUAACUACGUGCCAGCAGCCGCAGUAA